UAUCAUUAAUAGAUCCAAUAUACCUAACCUAACUAUUGAUAUUGUUGAUCAAGACCAUCGUCCUAUAGAUUUUAACGGUCAAACAAUCAAUAUUCGUCUUGCUCUGAAAAAAGAAGCAUAAACAUGGGUUUAGUGUUUCAAAAUCAAUAUAAAAAAUCAUACAAUCCAUCAAAUUAUCAGUCAGUAUCUUGUCAUCAGUCGACAUUAUCACAUCAGAGCGUGCAGAUUCUUAAAUCGUUAGGAUAUAAUGUCCGCCAGCAAACUUCAGGUUUACAGUUCACCGGAAAUAGACGACAGCAUAAGUAAAGAGGAAGAACAUACAUAUAGUCCGCAAGUAAGAUCUUUCGAUAACAAUGAUGAAAUCGAAAUUAUAAUUAAUCAGAGAGAUAUUUGGAUUUCUCUCUUUGAAUCAUUUAUACAAGUGGACGGUGAGUUCAUACCAGAUCCGGUACCGGAAACUGGCGGUGGAAAUGUAACCUUGACUAAUAAUGCAGCAGCAUAUUUAUUUGAGAAUGUAAGCUAUGAAUUGAAUAAUGUUGAGUUAGAUAGUGUACGUGAAGUCGGAACAGUAUCUACAAUCAAAACUUUUCUAUGUUAUGGCAAAGAUGAAGUAAGAGCAUUAACUCUCGCUGGAUGGAAUGAUCAAGAAAGUCAACAACUGAAGACAUUUAAUGAAACUGAUAAUACGUUUUCAUUUAGAAUCCCUUUAUCUUAUCUGUUAAAUUUACCAUUUGAUUAUCAUCGGAUAGUUAGCGGUCAUCAAAAACUUCGAUUAAUACGAAGUCGUAACGAUGCUAAUUGUUUCAUUUCUACCGGAACGAGAAAAGCGACACUUAAGAUUAACAAUAUUGAAUUAAAAGCAAAACAUGUUUACCCAAAUGAUGAAAUUAAAUUAACUAUAUUAGAAGGGAUCAACAAAGAUCGUGUUAUAUCGUUACCGUUCAGAAAAUGGGAAAUUCAUGAACUUCCAUCAGUUCGACAAACUAAUAACGACAUCUGGAGAGUUAAAACAUCUACUCAAUUAGAAAGACCAAGAUUUAUUAUCGUUUGCUUUCAAACAAACCGAAAAAAUAAUCCAAAGUCUGAUGUUACUCUAUUUGAUCAUUGUGAUGUAAGAAGCGUACGUUUAUGGUUGAAUUCAAAUGUUUAUCCAUAUGAAACAUGGAAACUACAAUUUGCUAAAAAUAAAUAUUUAGAAGCAUAUCAAGCUUACGUUGAUUUUUAUAAGGAAUUUAAUGGAAAAGAUCGUGCUGAACCUAUAUUAAGCUAUACAGAUUAUACAAAAAGACCGAUAUUUGUAUUAGACUGUUCCAAGCAAAACGAAGCAAUUCGAAGUUCCACCAUUGAUAUCAGCUUAGAAUUUGAAAGCGAUAAUAAUUUCCCAGCCGAUACAAGAGCUUAUUGUAUUAUCAUUCAUGAUAGAAUAAUGCAGUACUAUCCGUUAACAGGAAUAAUUAGACAACUGAUAUAAGGAUGAAAAAAAGUGUUACUAUAAGUGAUAGUGCUCCGGAAGUACAUAAUCUAAUAGUUUGGUCAUAUGCUUAUCAAGAUGCUAGAAAAGGAAACUAUUGGAUACAAUGCGCUGCAGACAGAGAAAGGUUUAAGUUUAGAAUUAAUCAAAUGAAAAAUAUUUUAAAGGAGAUCUUAAAUUCUGCUCAUCGUGAACAAAUUUUUCAGUCUAGAUUUAAGUGUUCAACAUGAAGGUAGUAGUGAUUGAUGUUCAAGGAUUUUAUAUACCUGAAUUCAUCGUUAAAGAAUUAACAAUAUUUGAUGGACAUCGAACUGGUCACUAUUUGUUUAAAUCACCGGUGCCGUUUCGUCAACUAAGUGCAGAUGUAAAAAAACAAGUGAAAUAUUUAGAAUUAAAUCAUCAUCUAUUACGUUACAACAGUGGAAAUAUCGACUAUGAAAAUAUUUAUAACAUACUAGAAGAAAAUAUUAUCGAUGAUGUUAUCGAUAUUAUUUACGUAAAAGGAAGCGUUAAAGAGGAUUUUUUAAGACAAUUUUUCGAUUCAAAGGACUUUUACCCUAGGAUCAUCAAUUUGGAGGAAGCAAACUCUUGUCCAAAAUUGCAACCACAACUUCCGUUAUGUAUGCAUCAUUACUUAAAAACUAAAAUAUGUAUCUGUAGUCUUAAUAAUGUACGGUUUAUUUAUAAUUAUGUAAUUCAGAAUUUACCGAAAUAAACGUUUAAAGUUUUAAUCUCGUUUCCUUCUCCUACUUCAUUAACCUGCCCUCUCCACUCUAGUUAAGAUUACAAAAAGUAUAAAGGGAUCAACUUUUAGUGUGUGAAAUAAUUUUUAUUGAAAUAUCAACAGUCAACACAACCAUCAUGUCUAAACAUCCCGCAGGUUACUAUGGGGACUAUAACCCAGAUUUGGUUGUUAACCACGCUGGGUUAACCGAAGAGGAGGUGGACCACCUCCUCACCCAAAUUCCCGCGGGCACCUUCGAGUGGGUUUCCCUUAUUAACAUCUAUCUGCGACUGGAACCGCCCCCAUCCCUUGGAGGUUAUUUUGAUAUUUUUACCGUGGGGCGCUUGACCGCCGCGAUAGACACCGAUGAGGAGCGGGGUAUAAUUGACAUUUGGGUAUGGGUACAUUAAACCUCAUACAUGUUGGAUCGUUUUAUGAUGUUCAUAGCGUUUUUUAUGAUGUUCAUAGCGUUAGGUUUGGCUUAAAAACUGCAAUUAAAAAUUUAUUUAGGUGUAUGACUUUUUUAGUUUAAGUAUGUAGUUUGUUUUAUGUAUAAUAAAAAAUAAUAUUCAUUCUGAUUAUUUUUGUGAUCUUAUUUCCUGUCUAACGUUUUUUUCUUGUAAAUUUAUGAAUCAAAAAUUUUAUAAAUAUCCAGUUGUAUUUGA